rnacentral:rRNA from 1 species
UACGAGGGGGGCGAGCGUUGUUCGGAAUUAUUGGGCGUAAAGGGUGCGUAGGCGGUUCGGUAAGUUUUAUGUGAAAUCUUCGGGCUUAACUCGAAGCCUGCAUAAAAUACUGCCGGGCUUGAGUAUGGGAGAGGUGAGUGGAAUUUCCGGUGUAGCGGUGAAAUGCGUAGAGAUCCGGAGGAACACCAAAGGCGAAGGCAGUGUCCUGGGGAGUACCUGACGCUCAGGUGCGAAAGCCAGGGGAGCGAACGGG